rnacentral:tRNA from 1 species
UUUAAUAUGGCAGAAUAAAGUGCUAUAGAUCUAAAAUCUAAAUAUAAAGUUAUUAAACUUUUAUUAAAA